UGCCAGCCAAAGGAGGGCCUUGUUUCCCAGGAAGAGACUUCGCAUCAUUCUGACCUGUCUGAUGACCUUGCCUGAUAGACCGGAGAAGCCUAGACAAUGAUGGGAGCUGAUCAGCACACAGCUCAGUUUUUCCACCAGACCCUCGGAACCAGCUGCUGUCGUUUGUCAGGCUCUGUUCUGCUGACAUCUCUCAGACACAGGAUCCCACUACUGUGACUACUGUGACCCUUUAAGUUCUUUGGUCUAUGCUGAACUCAAAAUAACCACAAAGACUCAUUCUGACUUAGUGAUUUUAUUUUUCUGAUCCAGCUAACUGGUGCUGUGCAUUGAAUCAGUGAAGAAGAAUUAAGUCUGGAAUCCACACAGGUUUUAUUUAUGAAGGCUAACAGUCUGACUAGUUGAGGCCUUGAUUAAAUACAGGGAUACUGUUACCAGUCCAUGGGCACUGGUAUGUAACCAUCAUGAAGAAACUGUGUAACUGCCCCAUCCCCAGCACUACCAAACAGAAUUCCACCUGAGCUGCAGCAGUUCACCCUGUAUAUUACAAAGAGGAGAGCCAUGUGCAGAUGGAUCUCGGAAGUUGUCCUGGGACCAGACGCAGAUGGUGUAAGUUGUGCAUCUUUCCAUUACAGCAAUGAAUUGAACUGCACUCCUAUCUUCUGAGGCCAACUUUCAAGAAUCAAAAUAACUUGCAUAUGUUUAUUGCUGCCCUUUGAAGAAAAUGUGUGGUGAAAAAUAAUUUAAAAUAAGGACCAGCAUCUCUGAGGCUAACCUGAUGCUUACUGCGAUUAAAAUACUUAAAAUUCACUG